UACGGAGGUGGCGAGCGUUGUCCGAAGUUACUGGGCGUAAAGCGCGCGUAGGCGGGGGAUUAAGUGAGAAGUGAAAGGCUGGGGCUCAACUCCAUGCAGUGCUUCUCAUACUGGUCUUCUUGAGGGGGGGUAGAGAGAAGUGGAAUGGCUGGUGUAGCGGUGAAAUGCGUAGAUAUCAGGAGGAACACCUGUGGCGAAAGCGGCUCACUGGACCAUAACUGACGCUGAUGCACGAAAGCUAGGGGAGCAAACAGG
rnacentral:rRNA from 1 species